GUAAUUUAUUUGACCUCAUCCGCACUUACAAUUGGUAUCAGAGCGGGUUCUCGAUAGAGAUUUAGUCUUGUUUCGGGUAGAUCAAGGGUGAGGUUCAGGAGAUCGUUCAGAAAGUAAGACAGAGCUGAGAAUCGUGUGAGAUGGAGUCAUACAAGGAAGGUACGUCUAUGACAAGACCACCACUUCUUGAUUCAGCGAAUUAUGGAUAUUGGAAGGUUCGUAUGCAAGCUUUUAUUAGUAAUCUUGAUGAAGAUUGUUG
rnacentral:lncRNA from 1 species